rnacentral:rRNA from 1 species
ACCAUAUAGUAAGGGAUAACAGUUGGAAACGACUGCUAAUACCAUAUACGCCCUUAGGGGGAAAGAUUUAUCGCUAUGUGAUGAGCCCGCGUAAGAUUAGCUAGUUGGUGAGGUAAUGGCUCACCAAGGCUACGAUCUUUAGCUGGUCUGAGAGGAUGAUCAGCCACACUGGAACUGAGACACGGUCCAGACUCCUACGGGAGGCAGCAGUGGGGAAUAUUGGACAAUGGGCGCAAGCCUGAUCCAGCCAUGCCGCGUGAAUGAUGAAGGCCUUAGGGUUGUAAAGUUCUUUCGCUAUCGAGGAUAAUGACUGUAGAUAGAUAAGAAGCCCCGGCUAACUUCGUGCCAGCAGCCGCGGUAAUACGAAGGGGGCUAGCGUUGUUCGGAAUCACUGGGCGUAAAGCGCGCGUAGGCGGCUAUUCAAGUCAGAGGUGAAAUCCCAGAGCUCAACUUUGGAACUGCCUUUGAAACUGUAUAGCUGGAGUGUUGGAGGGGAUAGCGGAAUUCCUAGUGUAGAGGUGAAAUUCGUAGAUACUAGGAGGAACACCGGUGGCGAAGGCGGCUAUCUGGACAACAACUGACGCUGAGGCGCGAAAGCGUGGGUAUCAAACAGGAUUAGAUACCCUGGUAGUCCACGCUGUAAACGAUGAGUGCUAGCUGUCGGGCCCUUAGGGUUCGGUGGCGCUGCUAACGCAUUAAGCACUCCGCCUGGGGAGUACGGUCNNNAGAUUAAAACUCAAA